UAUCGGAGGAUGAUGGCUGGGGUGACUUCAUAUGAGAUUGUCUGGGCUACAGCUCAUGAUGCGCUGAUUAGUGCGCAGUUUGAGUUGGAUGCUCAUCCGGAUCACAAGAUUGAGUAAACAGCUAGACUUGAUGUUGCUAGUAUAAAUAAAAGGCCUAGGUUCAAGUUAAUUAAAGGGUAAGGUAUGGGGAGAGGGGUUCACAGGAGAAGAGCGAUGGAGAGGGCUAAGGUUGGGGCGGUUACGUACAGGGUUGUAGCGGAUGUGGUGGGUAGUAGAGGUU